UACGUAGGGUGCAAGCGUUGUCCGGAAUUAUUGGGCGUAAAGAGCUCGUAGGCGGUCUGUCGCGUCUGCUGUGAAAACCUGGGGCUUAACCCCGGGCCUGCAGUGGGUACGGGCAGACUAGAGUGUGGUAGGGGAGACUGGAAUUCCUGGUGUAGCGGUGAAAUGCGCAGAUAUCAGGAAGAACACCCGUGGCGAAGGCGGCUCUCUGGAACGCAACUGACGCUGAGACGCGAAAGCGUGGGGAGCAAACAGG
rnacentral:rRNA from 1 species